rnacentral:rRNA from 1 species
AGAGUUUGAUCCUGGCUCAGGACGAACGCUUGCGGCGUGCCUAAGAAAUGCAAGUCGAACGGAAGUAGCAAUACUUUAGUGGCGAACGGUCGCGUAACACGUAAGAAACCUGCCUCAAAGUGGGGGACAACGAUCCGAAAGGGUCGCUAAUACCGCAUGUGAACAACUUUUGGCAUCUUUAGUUGUUUAAAGCUUUAUGCGCUUUGAGAUGGUCUUGCGGCCUAUCAGGUAGAUGGUGGGGUAACGGCCUACCAUGCCGACGACGGGUAGCUGGUCUGAGAGGACGAUCAGCCGGAUUGGGACUGAGAUACGGCCCAGACUCCUACGGGGGGCAGCAAUUAGGAAUCUUGCGCAGUGGACGAAAGUCUGACGCAGCGACGCCGCGUGAGGGAUGACGGCCUUCGGGUUGUAAACCUCUUUUGCCGAGGAAGAAGAAUGUGACGGUACUCGGUGAAUAAGCCCCGGCUAACUACGUGCCAGCAGCCGCGGUAAUACGUAGGGGGCGAGCGUUGUCCGAAGUUACUGGGCGUAAAGCGCGCGUAGGCGGCUUUUUAAGUCUGGGGUGAAAGGUUCAACGCUCAACGUGAACAGUGCCUUGGAUACUGGGAAGCUUGAAUGUGGCAG